UCGGACGUGGUGUAGGGAACAUCGCGAGUAUUCUUACCGCAAUGUCGCACUUGGGAGUCUUGCAGUCCGGGGUUCGACUCCCCGCGUCCGAA